AACAACGAUGAUGAGUUCUAGCAGACCUGUAAUGAUUGCGGAUAUGAUCGUAAUUAUUUGAACAUCUAAGGGACUGAGUUGUU
rnacentral:snoRNA from 1 species